rnacentral:rRNA from 1 species
AUUGAACGCUGGCGGCAUGCCUUACACAUGCAAGUCGAACGGCAGCACGGGAGCAAUCCUGGUGGCGAGUGGCGAACGGGUGAGUAAUAUAUCGGAACGUGCCCAGUCGUGGGGGAUAACGUAGCGAAAGCUACGCUAAUACCGCAUACGAUCUACGGAUGAAAGCGGGGGAUCGCAAGACCUCGCGCGAUUGGAGCGGCCGAUAUCAGAUUAGGUAGUUGGUGAGGUAAAGGCUCACCAAGCCGACGAUCUGUAGCUGGUCUGAGAGGACGACCAGCCACACUGGGACUGAGACACGGCCCAGACUCCUACGGAGGCAGCAGUGGGGAAUUUUGGACAAUGGGCGCAAGCCUGAUCCAGCAAUGCCGCGUGCAGGAUGAAGG